AGCAGCCGGCUUGGUGUUAAGAGGUGGGGCCUGGGGGAAGGGGCGGGUCGUUGUGGGCGUGGCCUGGAAGGCUUUGCCUCCCUCCCCAGCUCCUCCCUUCUCUCUCAGUAGGUAGUCCCGAACUCCUGGUCCUGGCGGUCCUCUUGCCUCAGCCUCCCAAGCGCUGGGAUUGUGGGCAUGUGCCGUCACGCCUGGCUUCUCUCUGCCUCUCGCCCACUACCAUGAGGAGGUCUUCUCUGCUCUCCACCUCUUCUCUGCCAUCCUGCCUUGGAGCCAGCAGACAAUCAUCUGAAACCGCAGGCCUCGGCCUUGGUGGGGCUGCACGCUACCAGGACAGUGAGGCCUCCGGCUUCAGUCCUCAAUUCCUGCCCCUAACAAGCAGUGGAUCUGGGUCCACGCAGCCCGUGGCUCCAAUCCACCCAGAGACUUGCCGAUGAGUCACAGCCAGCUGAUACCACAGACUCACAAGGAUUUGGCGUUGGGAUCUUGGCGGUGAUAACCAGCACUAAGGGAAACUUGGGACUGAAUCAGAGGCCGGCUGCCUCUGUCCAGCCCUUGCCUGUCGGGAUUCCAGUGAAAGGACAUUCCUCCCCACGCGCCUGCACUCCUGUGCUGUCCUGGUGGCACCGAGGUGGAAUGGGGUCUCCUGGGAGGCUAACUGUCCAGGGCAGCGGCCUGACUCCAGGGGAGAGUCCAGCGCUCACCUUCCAGGGACUGUCCUGCAUGUUGGUCACCCAGGCCGCUGGCUAGGCUGGGCCCCAGAAGAGCACCAGGAGGUUAGGGCACAGAAUGCUUCUCUCAUGGCAGAGCGACAAUGGCCUCUGCCAUGGCCGAAUGACGGUGGGCGCUGUAUGUGCACGCGUUAUGUAAGAUGACCCUUGGAACACCGUGGAGAGGGAGUGGUAUCCCUGCUUUACAGAUGCAGAAAGUAAAACACAAGAAAAAUAGCUUGGCAAGACUAAGGUGCAAACCCAGGUUCAUCUCUACCAGUUCACCGGACCACGUUGUGUCUCAGGAGGGACGUGGUCCAGACAGCUUGCCCCCUGGUUUCUGACCACUGGUGGGGAUGGCAGGUGCACGAUCACUAUCGUGCUGUGACCAUGUAUGUGUGAGGCCCAUUCCUGCAACACAGAAGCUUGUAGUAAGUAGCUGUGUGUAGGUCCAGCCUCCAUGGGUCACCCGGCCUACAAGAGCUGGCUCUCUGUAAGUGUGUCAGUACGGCCGCCACCUAGACACACGGAGCCCCUUAGCCCCCUUGGCCCCAGCUCCUU